rnacentral:rRNA from 1 species
GAUGAAUGCUGGCAGCGUGCCUAACACAUGCAAGUCGAGCGGCAGCGCGAGUAGUUUACUACUUGGCGGCGAGCGGCGGACGGCUGAGUAACGCGUGAGAACAUACCCCAAAGUGAGGGAUAACCGCCCGAAAGGGUGGCUAAUACCGCAUAUGAUCUUCGGAUUAAAGGAUUUAUCCGCUUUGGGAAUGGCCUGCGUACGAUUAGAUAGUUGGUGAGGUAAUGGCUCACCAAGUCGACGAUCGUUAGCUGGUCUGAGAGGAUGACCAGCCAGACUGGAACUGAGACACGGUCCAGACUCCUACGGGAGGCAGCAGUGAGGAAUCUUCCACAAUGGGCGAAAGCCUGAUGGAGCAACGCCGCGUGCAGGAUGAAGGCCUUCGGGUCGUAAACUGCUUUUAUGAGUGAAGAAUAUGACGGUAACUCAUGAAUAAGCACCGGCUAACUACGUGCCAGCAGCCGCGGUAA